rnacentral:rRNA from 1 species
UACGUAGGUGGCAAGCGUUAUCCGGAAUUAUUGGGCGUAAAGAGCGCGCAGGUGGUUGAUUAAGUCUGAUGUGAAAGCCCACGGCUUAACCGUGGAGGGUCAUUGGAAACUGGUCGACUUGAGUGCAGAAGAGGGAAGCGGAAUUCCAUGUGUAGCGGUGAAAUGCGUAGAGAUAUGGAGGAACACCAGUGGCGAAGGCGGCUUCCUGGUCUGUAACUGACACUGAGGCGCGAAAGCGUGGGGAGCAAACAGGAUUAGAUACCCCGGUA